GAACCUACCCUUAGGAGGGGGACAACAGUUGAAAACGGCUGCUAAUACCGGAUGUGCCUUAUGGUGAAAGAUUUAUCACCUGAAGAUGAGCUCGCGUCUGAUUAGCUAGUAGGUGUGGUAAGAGCGCACCUAGGCGACGAUCAGUAGCUGGUCUGAGAGGAUGAUCAGCCACACUGGGACUGAGACACGGCCCAGACUCCUACGGGAGGCAGCAGUGGGGAAUUUUCCGCAAUGGGCGAAAGCCUGACGGAGCAAUACCGCGUGAGGGAGGAAGGCUCUUGGGUUGUAAACCUCUUUUCUCAGGGAAGAAUGAUGACGGUACCUGAGGAAUAAGCAUCGGCUAACUCCGUGCCAGCAGCCGCGGUAAUACGGAGGAUGCAAGCGUUAUCCGGAAUGAUUGGGCGUAAAGCGUCCGCAGGUGGCAAUGUAAGUCUGCUGUCAAAGCGUCUGGCUCAACCAGAUAAAGGCAGUGGAAACUACAUAGCUAGAGUAAGGUAGGGGUAGAGGGAAUUCCUGGUGUAGCGGUGAAAUGCGUAGAGAUCAGGAAGAACACCGGUGGCGAAAGCGCUCUGCUGGACCUUAACUGACACUGAGGGACGAAAGCUAGGGGAGCG
rnacentral:rRNA from 1 species